rnacentral:rRNA from 1 species
ACAACGGGUGGAGCUUGCGGUUUAAUUGGAUUCAACGCCGGAAAUCUUACCGGGACCGACAGCAAUAUGAAGGCCAGGCUGAAGACUUUGCCGGAUUAGCUGAGAGGUGGUGCAUGGCCGUGUCAGUUCGUACUGUGAAGCAUCCUGUUAAGUCAGGCAACGAGCGAGACCCACGCCCACAGUUGCCAGCGUACUCUCUGGAGUGACGGGUACACUGUGGGGACCGCCGCUGCUAAAGCGGAGGAAGGAAUGGGCAACGGUAGGUCAGUAUGCCCCGAAUAUCCCGGGCUACACGCGAGCUACAAUGGUUGGUACAAUGGGUAUCUACCCCGAAAGGGGACGGGAAUCUCCUAAAACCAAUCUUAGUUCGGAUUGAGGGCUGCAACUCGCCCUCAUGAAGCUGGAAUCCGUAGUAAUCGCGCUUCAACAGAACGCGGUGAAUACGUCCCUGCUCCUU